AGCAGCCGCGGUAAUUCCAGCUCCAAUAGCGUAUAUUAAAGUUGUUGCAGUUAAAAAGCUCGUAGUUGAACCUCGGGGUCUACCCAUUGGUCAGGCUUAAUUGUCUGCACUGGUGAGAUGGAUCUCUACCUUCUGAGGAACUUUCAUGCCAUUUAUUUGGUGUGAUGGGAAUCAGGACUGUUACUUUGAAAAAUUAGAGUGUUUAAAGCAGACUAUCGUCUGAAUACAUUAGCAUGGAAUAAUGAAAUAGGACGGACUGAUUCUAUUUCGUUGGUUUCUAGGAUCACCGUAAUGAUUAAUAGGGAUAGUUGGGGGCAUUAGUAUUCAAUUGUCAGAGGUGAAAUUCUUGGAUUUAUUGAAGACUAACUACUGCGAAAGCAUUUGCCAAGGAUGUUUUCAUUAAUCAAGAACGAAAGUUAGGGGGAUCGAAGACGAUCAGAUACCGUCGUAGUCUUAACCAUAAACUAUGCCGACUAGGGAAUC
rnacentral:misc_RNA from 1 species